rnacentral:rRNA from 1 species
AGGGCACCACCAGGAGUGGAGCCUGCGGCUUAAUUUGACUCAACACGGGAAAACUCACCCGGCCCGGACACCGUAAGGAUUGACAGACUGAGAGCUCUUUCUUAAUUCGGUGGGUGGUGGUGCAUGGCCGUUCUUAGUUGGUGGAGCGAUUUGUCUGGUUAAUUCCGAUAACGAACGAGACUCUGGCCUAUUAAAUAGACGGUAUAUCUAGAAAAAGUAUACCGCGCUUCUUAGAGGGACAACCGGCGUCUAGCCGCGUGAAAUAGAGCUUUUUUUAGGUCUGUGAUGCCCUUAGAUGUCCGGGGCUGCACGCGCGCUACACUGAAAGAAUCAGUAUGCGCCGUCGCCUAGUUCGGAAGAACCGGGUAACCCGAGCAAAUUCUUUCGUGCUUGGGAUAGGGAAUUGCAAUUAUUUCCCUUAAACGAGGAAUUCCCAGUAAAUGCGGGUCAUAAGCUCGCGUUGAUUACGUCCCUGCCCUUUGUACACACCGCCCGUCGCUACUACCGAUUGGAUGACUU